rnacentral:rRNA from 1 species
UACAGAGGUCUCAAGCGUUGUUCGGAUUCAUUGGGCGUAAAGGGCGCGUAGGCGGCGGGGUAAGUCGGUGUGAAAUCUCAGGGCUCAACCCUGAAACUGCACUCGAUACUGCUCUGCUUGAGGACUGGAGAGGAGACUGGAAUUCACGGUGUAGCAGUGAAAUGCGUAGAUAUCGUGAGGAAGACCAGUGGCGAAGGCGGGUCUCUGGACAGUUCCUGACGCUGAGGCG